rnacentral:lncRNA from 1 species
GGUUCUCAACGACUUCUAGUUGGCUCCAUCGAAAUCCGAUGAGAGGCCACAUGGCACGUGCUGCCGCGCUUUUAUUAAAACAAAUCGAAAGUCAGGUAGCGUUCAACAAAACGGUUUUUGUUAUGGGAUGAUUGACGGAAACCGUUACUAGUUGAAGAAAAUGGAAAAAUAUUUUUAGUUUAAAGCUUUCGACAGAAUUAAAAAAUGGUGAUAGAAAUCACCAGGUCGAUGUAACAC